AGGAACCAUGGCUCACUGGAGCACCAUCUUUGGAGUCUAGCUAACACAGCAUCUUGGAUGCACUCCUAAGAGAAGACUACCUGAAAGGCGUGUACACUGGUCUAGCAGUUGAGAUCAGCUAGUGUUCCAUCUAUCUUCUGUCAUGUAUCUCUUCUAAGAUGUCUUGAUCGACUGACCCCAAAGCCAGAGGGUACCAGGUCAAAAAGCAAGUUUGGAAGUCUGGAAAAGUUCAAGAUUGGCCAUCUGCAGCUGGUGAGAGCCUCAGGCUGCUUCCCCUCAUGGUGGAAGGUGAAGGGGAGCUGGUGUGUGCAGAGAUUACAUGGGAAAUCCAGCCAAGAAAGUAUGUGUUCUAUGAGUGGCUGCCCUUGUAGUUAUUCAAGUGGUCCCACCAACAAUGCUCGAAAGGCACAGUAAACCAAGCUUUUCUAGGUCAUCAUUCUAGGCUUUGUUGAAGCAUGCAUUUUUGGCAUGAGGGUGGCAGCCUUUGCACUAUGUGCAUGGCUGAGGAGUUAGGAUCUGGAGGGUGAUGAAAGCAAAGGUGCUGCUGGUUACUCUUGGUUCAUCUAGCAAUAGAUGAUCUGAAUGUUAGAGUUCGCCAAAUAUUGUUCCUGGGCAGUCUUUGCUCUACCAAAUCAACUUUCUCCAUGGGGGAGCUAGAAGUCACCCCACAUUCUCCGCCAUGGCCAGCUCUACAUUCUAAGAGAACCAAUGGCUCUACCCAACAUAUUCUUCUCACCACAGAUGACAAAGACACAAGGAGCCAAGACAGAUCAUUCAAGCAUAUUCAUUGCCUCUAUCUUCAUCCCAUUAAAUAACAUCCCGCCAACCAAAGCAAGUUAUCUGCAUAAGAAUAAAUAUUCCACCUACUCUACUGCAAGGCCCUGCAAGAGUCAUGAGACAAAAGGAUCCUCUGUGGACAGCACCCAAGAUGGAAACAACUGACAGUCUAUGGCCAGGGCUAUACUCUGGUGAAACUGAAAGGUGUCUGCAUGGAAGUGUCUGACUACCACCAUCCACUCAGGCAAAUGCAUUUGUUUCCCUCUAUUCAUUAUUAGAAGAGAGGAGAUUACAUACCAGACAUAUACCAAUAGGUUUUCUCUUCAUAAUACCUACGUCAUCUAGUAGCAUAACAUAAGGCAGAAUCCUUCAAAGAUUUUCACCUGAACUUUUCUUGAGCAUCUCUAGACAGUCACAUGCAGAAUAACAACUGGGUUUUAGGACUCCUGUUCACCACCACUACCUCUACACAUAGCAGAUCCACGUAAGACACUUGCAUCCAAGACAAGUCAGAAUGAUUACAUAUGAAAGUUUUAAUUGCACUGUAUGGGGAUAUUGCUGUGUUGUGAAUUAAAUAAGAAUUCAUAUUUUCUUAUUAUGGGAUUAUGAUUUGAUAUUUUCUGUGAUCUUGUCAAAUAUAUUCUGCAUUCUAA
ensembl:lncRNA LINC02465 long intergenic non-protein coding RNA 2465